rnacentral:ncRNA from 1 species
GCAACGCUGGAGAGCGAGUUGUGAAGACUCCACCGAAGGGGAAAACUGCACGUAGCGGCCAAUCUCUCAGGUUCCACGACAGCGCGGG